rnacentral:rRNA from 1 species
GACGUGCUAAUCUGCGAUAAGCGUCGGUAAGGUGAUAUGAACCGUUAUAACCGGCGAUUUCCGAAUGGGGAAACCCAGUGUGAUUCGUCACACUAUCAUUAACUGAAUCCAUAGGUUAAUGAGGCGAACCGGGGGAACUGAAACAUCUAAGUACCCCGAGGAAAAGAAAUCAACCGAGAUUCCCCCAGUAGCGGCGAGCGAACGGGGAGCAGCCCAGAGCCUGAAUCAGUGUGUGUGUUAGUGGAAGCGUCUGGAAAGGCGUGCGAUACAGGGUGACAGCCCCGUACACAAAAAUGCACAUACUGUGAGCUCGAUGAGUAGGGCGGGACACGUGGUAUCCUGUCUGAAUAUGGGGGGACCAUCCUCCAAGGCUAAAUACUCCUGACUGACCGAUAGUGAACCAGUACCGUGAGGGAAAGGCGAAAAGAACCCCGGCGAGGGGAGUGAAAAAGAACCUGAAACCGUGUACGUACAAGCAGUGGGAGCACGCUUAGGCGUGUGACUGCGUACCUUUUGUAUAAUGGGUCAGCGACUUAUAUUCUGUAGCAAGGUUAACCGAAUAGGGGAGCCGAAGGGAAACCGAGUCUUAACUGGGCGUUAAGUUGCAGGGUAUAGACCCGAAACCCGGUGAUCUAGCCAUGGGCAGGUUGAAGGUUGGGUAACACUAACUGGAGGACCGAACCGACUAAUGUUGAAAAAUUAGCGGAUGACUUGUGGCUGGGGGUGAAAGGCCAAUCAAACCGGGAGAUAGCUGGUUCUCCCCGAAAGCUAUUUAGGUAGCGCCUCGUGAAUUCAUCUCCGGGGGUAGAGCACUGUUUCGGCAAGGGGGUCAUCCCGACUUACCAACCCGAUGCAAACUGCGAAUACCGGAGAAUGUUAUCACGGGAGACACACGGCGGGUGCUAACGUCCGUCGUGAAGAGGGAAACAACCCAGACCGCCAGCUAAGGUCCCAAAGUCAUGGUUAAGUGGGAAACGAUGUGGGAAGGCCCAGACAGCCAGGAUGUUGGCUUAGAAGCAGCCAUCAUUUAAAGAAAGCGUAAUAGCUCACUGGUCGAGUCGGCCUGCGCGGAAGAUGUAACGGGGCUAAACCAUGCACCGAAGCUGCGGCAGCGACGCUUAUGCGUUGUUGGGUAGGGGAGCGUUCUGUAAGCCUGUGAAGGUGUGCUGUGAGGUAUGCUGGAGGUAUCAGAAGUGCGAAUGCUGACAUAAGUAACGAUAAAGCGGGUGAAAAGCCCGCUCGCCGGAAGACCAAGGGUUCCUGUCCAACGUUAAUCGGGGCAGGGUGAGUCGACCCCUAAGGCGAGGCCGAAAGGCGUAGUCGAUGGGAAACAGGUUAAUAUUCCUGUACUUGGUGUUACUGCGAAGGGGGGACGGAGAAGGCUAUGUUGGCCGGG